rnacentral:rRNA from 1 species
CCUACGGGAGGCAGCAGUGGGGAAUAUUGCACAAUGGGGGAAACCCUGAUGCAGCGACGCCGCGUGAGUGAAGAAGUAUUUCGGUAUGUAAAGCUCUAUCAGCAGGGAAGAAAAUGGCGGUACCUGAUUCAGAAGCCCCGGCUAACUACGUGCCAGCAGCCGCGGUAAUACGUAGGGGGCAAGCGUUAUCCGGAUUUACUGGGUGUAAAGGGAGCGUAGACGGCAGCACAAGUCUGGAGUGAAAUGCCGGGGCUUAACCCCGGAACUGCGUUGGAAACUGUGCAGCUAGAGUGCAGGAGAGGUAAGUGGAAUUCCUAGUGUAGCGGUGAAAUGCGUAGAUAUUAGGAGGAACACCAGUGGCGAAGGCGGCUUACUGGACUGUAACUGACGUUGAGGCUCGAAAGCGUGGGGAGCAAACAGGAUUAGAUACCCCUGUAGUC